UCACGAUAUAUUAAUUGCGUGUCCGUUUCAAAGGAGAAGUGCGCCGAUGCCAUUCUUUUUCUCUGAACGCGUGAUGGGUGUCACUUACUGGUUUGGUUGUAUUAACAGUCUCCCGUCACCUUUAUAUAGCGGCGCGCUCCACAAAUCCAAGUGCAGACGUUCCUGUUGAAAACGUUUAAUAUGCUCAAAAUGAGGUGUCUGCUAGUGCUUCUCCUUUGUGCUUCAGUUCUGAUAGUAGGGACAGAUGCAGAUGCACCCAGUUGUGACAACCCAAACAGCAACGAGGAUUGCCAACAGCAUUGCAAAGACGAAGGGUACGGUGGAGGCGCUUGCGUCCAAUCCGAGGAUACUCCGGAGAGUGGAUUAUACUGCAUGUGCGCCUCUCUUGAGUGAGGCCACGUCAGACAUAUAUGGCUAUCUACUGCUGUCAAACAAAUGGAUACGUUGGGCAUGGCGAAUAAAAGAAAAUAAAGCCAACCUUGAAAGUCG